CGUACGUUCUAAAUUGUUUGACUGGUCCCCCAGGGUGAGUUUUUAAUGCGCGUGAUUUUGGAUCAAUUUUAACGUUCCAGAAAUUGAUUAUGACGCAUUAAUGUCGAAUUGCUGUACAAUUUAAGCAUUUCUCUAUUCGCAUUUUGAGUUGAACCUGUUGGACCCCGUAGCUUUGACCAGGCAACAACCCAUUGGUUGUUUAGAAUAUUACGACCACCCCCCACCCCCCUCCUCCUUGAUGCAUUUCAUCCGCCUCGUGGGACCAUGUUUACCUUUCAUGGCGACGUUUUUCUGAAGUGCACACCUUGCACUUCCUCCUGGUCCUGCUUCCUUGGGUAGCAGUCUGAGGGACCUCCGAGGGAAAGUGCCUGGCAGUCAACCGCAGAGGAUUGUCUGAUGUGGGACGGCCACCGGUGGAUGGGCGUCGAGGUGUAUGAUGCACCUCGAGCAGCUGUUUCAUCAAGUUCAGUCUGUAUUCCUGACUGUUGACGGUGGACGAUGUGGCCAUUGAGAACAGCAGUGUCUACCAAGUGAAAGAAGACUUUCUUAUACCACUUGGUAGUCUUCCUGGCACAUUCGACAAAGCUGUUCACCAUGUCCGCCUUGUCCACAGCCCCCAUCUUCUUGUUAUAGUCAAGAACACAAGCUGGCUUGAGUUUCCUCUCCCAGGUGGCAUGAUCAAUCCUUGCCGUGGCUGACAUCACUGAUGAAUGAACAGUGGGCUGAAGGCUGGCAUCCCCUUCCGAUUUGCACGAACGGUCCCACAGGCCCCCGUUCCUCGGGAGAGGAGGUGCUGGAACAAUGUUGGACUGCUGUACCAGUUGUCGAUGUACAGGACGUGGCCCUUUUUUAGGUGGGGUGCAAGUAAGGUCAUCACGACCGAGCCAGAUAUCCCAAGUCCUGGAAAGUGGGUGAUGUCAGUGGUGGAUCCCGUGUAAAUGAUCAUGUCCUGCACGUAACCGGUCAACACAUCACAAAGGACAAAGAAUUUGACACCAAACCUAUGCCUUUUUGAUGGGAUGUACUGCCGAAAUGCCAGCCUACCCUUCCACUUCAUUAGGGAUUCAUCGACACAGAGGUCUCUGUGUGGCACAAAAACCCUUUGGAAUGAAGUGGUGAGAGCACUAAACACAUUUCUGAUCUUGUGCAGGGGAUCAUUUACGUUAGCGCUUGCACUGUCGACAAAGUGCAAGCAACGGAGGAGAAGCAGGAAACGGUCCUGGGAAAAAAUUGUGGCGAAGAAGGGGGUCAGGAGGAUGGGAUCUGUGGUCCAGUAGUC